UACAGAGGGUGCGAGCGUUGUCCGGAAUCACUGGCGUAAAGGCGCGUAGGUGGCGCGACAAGUCAGUGGUGAAGCUCGACGCUCAACGUCGAGUCGGCACUGAGACUGUUGGCUUGAGCACUGUAGAGGCUAAUGGAAUUCCGGUGUAGCGGUGGAAUGCGUAGAGAUCCGGAAGAACACCGGUGGCGAAGGCGGUUAGCUGGCAGUUGCUGACACUGAGGCGCGACACGUGGAGCAAACAGG
rnacentral:rRNA from 1 species